GAGCGGCAGCACGGGAAGCUUGCUUCCUGGUGGCGAGCGGCGGACGGGUGAGUAAUGCAUAGGAAUCUGCCCGGUAGUGGGGGAUAACCUGGGGAAACCCAGGCUAAUACCGCAUACGUCCUACGGGAGGCAGCAGGGGCUCUUCGGACCUUGCGCUAUCGGAUGAGCCUAUGUCGGAUUAUCUGGUUGGUGAGGUAAUGGCUCACCAAGGCGACGAUCCGUAGCUGGU
rnacentral:rRNA from 1 species